rnacentral:rRNA from 1 species
AUGACUUUGCGCAGCAUAGUUCGCGAUUUAAGGGAGAGCUUCGGAAACCUGUCAAGGCGGAAUUUCGAGGCGAAAAUCUCAAGCGUCCCAAGCCUUUCGGGCCAUCACCGAGGGAAAUCGCUUGAAUCUGCAAGUGAUCUGCAGGAUAGUCUUGUCACAAACCUGCAAGGCAAUUGGGCUAGCCUUCCUCCUGAAUUACUUCGGGAUGUGAUGAAAAGGCUGGAGGAAGACGACAGCAAUUGGCCGUCCCGCAAAGAUGUUGUUGCCUGCGCUUCUGUCUGUACAACCUGGAGAGACAUGUGCAAGGAUAUUGUGAGGAAUCCAGAAUUCUGUGGAAAGCUCACCUUUCCUGUGUCCCUUAAGCAGCCUGGAUCUCGAGAUGGAUUGAUCCAAUGUUUCAUCAAAAGGGACAAGUCAAAGCUGACUUAUCGUCUCUACCUGUCCCUUACUUCUGCUGUGCUUGAUGAUAAUGGCAAGUUCCUACUGUCAGCUAAAAGGAGUCGGAGAACAACUUACACCGACUAUGCCAUUUCUAUGGAUCCUAAAAAUAUAUCCCGGUCAAGUAGUGGCUACAUCGGGAAAUUGAGGUCAAAUUUCCUCGGCACCAAAUUCAUCAUCUACGACACGCAGCCGUCCUACAAUGCCAGUAAACUCUGCCCGCAGGAACGGACCAGCCGGCGGUUCUCCUCCAGGAAAGUCUCCCCCAAAGUUCCAGCGGCGACUGGCAGCUACCCCAUCGCUCAGGUGAACUACGAGCUGAACGUGCUCGGCACCCGCGGGCCAAGGCGGAUGCAGUGCACCAUGAACUCCAUCCCGACAUCGGCGGUAGACCCUGAUGGCGUUGUGCCUGGCCAACCGAAGGAGCUCCUCCCUCGGCUAUUCGAGGAAUCCUUCCGCACCACCGCAAGUUCCCGGUACUCCACGGACUUCAGCAGCUGCCACUUCUCCGAGUUUGGGGGAGGGCCUCUGAGAGAAGAAGGUGGCGACGAAAAUGCGGGGGACAAGGAGAGCCCGCUGGUUCUCAAGAACAAGUCGCCUCGGUGGCACGAGCAGCUGCAGUGCUGGUGCCUCAACUUCCGGGGGCGCGUCACGGUGGCCUCGGUCAAGAACUUCCAGCUGAUCGCCGCCCCCGCCCCGCCACCGCCAGCCUCCGGAGGAGAGGCGGCUCCCGAGCCGUCUUCACAGACGCAACCGCCCCAGCAGCAGCCUACCUCUGCUGCCGCCGCGCAGCCCCAGCCUGCUGGCAGUUCCUUGUCGGCGUCGUCGUCCUCGUCCUCGAGCCACCACGACACGGUGCUGCUGCAGUUCGGCAAGGUGUCCAAGGACACCUUCACCAUGGACUACCGGUACCCGCUGUCGGCGUUCCAGGCCUUCGCCAUCUGCCUGACCAGCUUCGACACCAAGCUGGCGUGUGAAUAA